rnacentral:sRNA from 1 species
UUUCUCCCUCCCCUCUGGGAUGCGAAACGCGAGGUUUUGUAACCUUUCCUGGCAAUUUUAGAUUUUGUGUGGGAUUUCCUGUCUAGAAGCAGAUACGAAGAUUUUUAAGCUGUUUCAAGAUGUUUCCUUCCAAUCCAUAAUUAUAUUUUUAAUAUAUUGGAGCCAUCAUUAAAAUCACUGCUUUCGUGAGUGAUUUUAAUUAUUCAAAUAAACACUUGCAUUUUAAAGACGUCUGUUGAUUAUAAUCGAAAGGUAUUUUGGUAUCCUCAUUGUGGAGGGAUGACUUGUUAUAGCAAGGAGUGGAGCAUAGGCUAUUGCAAUUUUAAUUUCCUGUUUUAGCGUCAAAUAGUGUGUGUUCUAUAUUGAGCUGUUGCCGCCGUUGCUGAUGUGGCUUUAUGAAAGUUUUCAGUUUAAAUUCUCAACUGGCAAUUGGCCGAAAACUUCCAUCUGAAGACAUGAUCAUCCAAAUGUCAUUUUGUGAUUUGGCUACUGUCUGCUUGACAUAGGAAAGCACUAUCAAGAAAGACUAAUGGAGUGACUAUCAAAAGGAAGUCAAUGGACAACCUUAAAGUUCCACCACAAGAGGAAUAUAAAGAGGUCCCUCCUGCACCAAGAAAGAUCUGCAGAUCUUUUUCAGUGUUCUUGGAGGUGUGGGGUGUGAGAACUUGAUCAGUUUGUGUCAGCCACCUUGUUCUCUAAAGUUACAAAUUAUAAUACUGUGGUAGAAACAAAUUCAGAUUCAGAUGAUGAAGACAAACUCCAUAUUGUGGAAGAAGAAAGUGUCACAGAUGCAGCUGAUUGUGAAGGUGUACCAGAGGAUGACCUGCCAACAGACCAGACAGUGUUACCAGGGAGGAGCAGUGAAAGAGAAGGGAAUGCUAAGAACUGCUGGGAGGAUGACACAGGAAAGGAAGGGCAAGAAAUCCUGGGGCCUGAAGCUCAGGCAGAUGAAGCAGGAUGUACAGUAAAAGAUGAUGAAUGCGAGUCAGAUGCAGAAAAUGAGCAAAACCACGAUCCUAAUGUUGAAGAGUUUCUACAACAACAAGACACUGCUGUCAUUUUUCCGGAGGCACCUGAAGAGGACCAGAGGCAGGGCACACCAGAAGCCAGUGGUCAUGAUGAAAAUGGAACACCAGAUGCAUUUUCACAAUUACUCACCUGUCCAUAUUGUGAUAGAGGCUAUAAACGCUUUACCUCUCUGAAAGAACACAUUAAAUAUCGUCAUGAAAAGAAUGAAGAUAACUUUAGUUGCUCCCUGUGCAGUUACACCUUUGCAUACAGAACCCAACUUGAACGUCACAUGACAUCACAUAAAUCAGGAAGAGAUCAAAGACAUGUGACGCAGUCUGGGUGUAAUCGUAAAUUCAAGUGCACUGAGUGUGGAA